rnacentral:rRNA from 1 species
CACUCCUGCGGGAGGCAGCAGUGGGGAAUUUUGGACAAUGGGCGAAAGCCUGAUCCAGCCAUGCCGCGUGCAGGAUGAAGGCCUUCGGGUUGUAAACUGCUUUUGUACGGAACGAAACGGCCUUUUCUAAUAAAGAGGGCUAAUGACGGUACCGUAAGAAUAAGCACCGGCUAACUACGUGCCAGCAGCCGCGGUAAUACGUAGGGUGCAAGCGUUAAUCGGAAUUACUGGGCGUAAAGCGUGCGCAGGCGGUUAUGUAAGACAGUUGUGAAAUCCCCGGGCUCAACCUGGGAACUGCAUCUGUGACUGCAUAGCUAGAGUACGGUAGAGGGGGAUGGAAUUCCGCGUGUAGCAGUGAAAUGCGUAGAUAUGCGGAGGAACACCGAUGGCGAAGGCAAUCCCCUGGACCUGUACUGACGCUCAUGCACGAAAGCGUGGGGAGCAAACAGGAUUAGAAACCCUUGUAGUCCCAU